AUUUCCUCUCUCACGGAACGAAUCGAUAAAAUACACUUAAGGGAUGUAGACAAUUCGAACACAUUCUGUCAGCUGGGAGUGUGGCGGCUCCUGUAAUCCGGCUACUCGGAGGCUGGUUAUGUUUGGAGGGUCUGAGGUCGGGGGUCACUGCUGGUGCAGGGUUCACGUUGACUGGGCGUCCGCACUAAGCUCGCCAUCAAUAUGGUCACCCUGGAGGAGUCCGGUGGUGACCAGGUUGCUAAGGAGAGGCGAACCGGGCCAGAGGGAAAA